AGUCACUGACAUUAGAUACCCGCGUAGUCCAGGGUGUAAACGCUGCAGACUUGGUGUUGGAAGUCCUUUGGGGGCAUUCAGUGCCGGGAGAAGUUGUUAAGUCUGCUACUUGGGAGUACGUCCGCAAGGAUGAAACUUAAAGGAAUUGGCGGGGGAGCACCGCAACGGGAGGAGCGUGCGGUUUAAUUGGAUUCAACACCGUAAAACUCACCAGGGAAGACUGUUACAUGAAGGCCGAGAUGAAGACUCUGCUAGAUUUUCAG
rnacentral:rRNA from 1 species